AGAGUUUGAUCCUGGCUCAGAUUGAACGUUGGCGGCAGGCCUUAAACAUGCAAGUCGAGCGGAAACGAUGGGAGCUUGCUCCCAGGCGUCGAGCGGCGGACGGGUGAGUAACGCGUAGGAAUCUACCCAGUAGCGGGGGAUAGCCCGAGGAAACUCGGAUUAAUACCGCAUACGCCCUAAGGGGGAAAGGGGGGGAACUCUUCGGAGACCUCUCACUAUUGGAGGAGCCUGCGUUGGAUUAGCUAGUUGGUAGGGUAAAGGCCUACCAAGGCGACGAUCCAUAGCUGUUCUGAGAGGAAGAUCAGCCACACUGGAACUGAGACACGGUCCAGACUCCUACGGGAGGCAGCAGUUGGGAAUAUUGCACAAUGGGCGCAAGCCUGAUGCAGCCAUGCCGCGUGUGUGAAGAAGGCCUUAGGGUUGUAAAGCACUUUCAGUAGGGAGGAAUCAACCAAAUUAAUACUUUGGUGAAAUGACGUUACCUACAGAAGAAGAUCCGGCUAACUCCGUGCCAGCAGCUGCGGUAAUACGGAGGGAUCAAACGUUAAUCGGAAUUACUGGGCGUAAAGCGCGCGUAGGUGGUUUUUUAAGUGGGAUGUGAAAGCCCCGGGCUUAACCUGGGAACUGCAUUCCAAACUGGAGAACUAGAGUACGAUAGAGGGGGGUAGAAUUCAGAGUGUAGCGGUGAAAUGCGUAGAUAUUCUGAGGAAUACCGGUGGCGAAGGCGGCCCCCUGGAUUGAUACUGACACUGAGGUGCGAAAGCGUGGGGAGCAAACAGGAUUAGAUACCCUGGUAGUCCACGCCGUAAACGAUGUCUACUAGCCGUUGGGAG
rnacentral:rRNA from 1 species